GAGCCCGCGUCCCAUUAGCUAGUUGGUGAGGUAAAAGCUUACCAAGGCGACGAUGGGUAGCCGACCUGAGAGGGUGAUCGGCCACACUGGAACUGAGACACGGUCCAGACUCCUACGGGAGGCAGCAGUGGGGAAUAUUGCACAAUGGGGGAAACCCUGAUGCAGCAACGCCGCGUGAGCGAUGAAGGCCUUCGGGUCGUAAAGCUCUGUCCUAAGGGAAGAUAAUGACGGUACCUUAGGAGGAAGCCCCGGCUAACUACGUGCCAGCAGCCGCGGUAAUACGUAGGGGGCAAGCGUUAUCCGGAAUAACUGGGCGUAAAGGGUGCGUAGGCGGCCCUGCAAGUCAGAAGUGAAAGGCUACGGCUCAACCGUAGUAAGCUUUUGAAACUGUAGGGCUUGAGUGCAGGAGAGGAGAGUAGAAUUCCUAGUGUAGCGGUGAAAUGCGUAGAUAUUAGGAGGAAUACCAGUUGCGAAGGCGGCUCUCUGGACUGUAACUGACGCUGAGGCACGAAAGCGUGGGGAGCGAACAGGAUUAGAUACCCUGGUAGUCCACGCCGUAAACGAUGGAUGCUAGAUGUCGGGG
rnacentral:rRNA from 1 species